rnacentral:rRNA from 1 species
UACGGGGGGGGCAAGCGUUGUUCGGAAUUACUGGGCGUAAAGGGCUCGUAGGCGGCCAACUAAGUCGGACGUGAAAUCCCUCGGCUUAACCGGGAAACUGCGUCCGAUACUGGCGGGCUUGAGUUUGGGAGAGGGAUGCGGAAUUCCAGGUGUAGCGGUGAAAUGCGCAGAUAUCAGGAGGAACACCGAUGGCGAAGGCAGCUCGCUGGGACGGUAUUGACGCUGAGACGCGAAAGCGUGGGGGAGCAAACAGG